AUUGGACAAAACAUUUUAUACUUUGUUAUUUCUACUCCUGAUUUAAAAUGUGUUAAUAUGUGAUGGCAGGUGGCCAUCCUCUUGUUUCAUUUUUCCCAUUUUGAGGAAAAUGUGAUAGAGACUUGCUUGAGGUAUUUUGGUUAUGUAACCAGUACAGGCUCUAUUAGUCAACUAGUUAACGAGAAAAAUGGACCAAAGAGAAGGUAGUCCAAUUAAAAGGGGUAGAGAGAGACGUAAGAAAGCUUUAGGAGAAACCUGUAACAAAUAUCUCUCCUCCCUACCAGUUUUGCUGAAAAUCUGGUUUUUGAUAGAGCCCAAUGGCAUGGAUUAGUCCAUGUUGCCAUCCUCACUUGGUUAAAAUUUUCUUGUUCUUGUUCUUGUUGUUGUUCUUCCCAAACCUCAAAACCCUUUUCCCAACAACCCAUGGUGCCUUAACAAAAGCCAAUGCAAGACAAUGCACAACAGCACAAGGGCAGCAACAUAGUGCUACACAAUCAGCUAUCAUCCCUCCUAUGCAUGACUUACAAUUCUUUCCCGAACAAUCGAAUCCGCCACCAUCAUCCACGAUCGUGGCGGAUCGCUUCUUGUUCUUGUUGCUAUUCUUCCUAGUCGUAGUCACAAAGACAGUAGUAGUAGUAGCAGCAGCAGUAGCGAGUCCAUUAUUGCUAUGCGAAACUCGAGAAAUUUUGUAAUUCUCCUCCAUUAAUGAAUGAUACCUGAAUAAAGCUAUUCUGUAUGAUCAGAAACUUUCAAUGUGAC
rnacentral:lncRNA from 1 species